GCAAGUCGAACGGAAAGGCCCUUCCUUUUUUGGUUGGGUGCUCGAGUGGCGAACGGGUGAGUAUUACGUGAGUAACCUGCCCUCAACUGUGGGAUAAGCCUGGGAAACUGGGUCUAAUACUGCAUAUUCUUCUUUCACCGCAUGGUGGGGGUUGGAAAGUUUUUUCGGUUGGGGAUGGGCUCGCGGCCUAUCAGCUUGUUGGUGGGGUGAUGGCCUACCAAGGCGGUGACGGGUAGCCGGCCUGAGAGGGUGGUCGGCCACAUUGGGACUGAGAUACGGCCCAGACUCCUACGGGAGGCAGCAGUGGGGGAUAUUGCACAAUGGGCGCAAGCCUGAUGCAGCGACGCCGCGUGAGGGAUGAAGGCUUUCGGGUUGUAAACCUCUUUCGGUACAGAACAAGGCACGUUUUUUGCGUGUGGAGGGUAUGUGCAGAAGAAGCGCCGGCUAACUACGUGCCAGCAGCCGCGGUAAUACGUAGGGCGCGAGCGUUGUCCGGAAUUAUUGGGCGUAAAGGGCUCGUAGGCGGCUUGUUGCGCCUGCUGUGAAAACGCGGGGCUUAACUCCGCGCGUGCAGUGGGUACGGGCAGGCUUGAGUGUGGUAGGGGUGACUGGAAUUCCAGGUGUAGCGGUGGAAUGCGCAGAUAUCUGGAGGAACACCGAUGGCGAAGGCAGGUCACUGGGCCAUUACUGACGCUGAGGAGCGAAAGCGUGGGUAGCGAACAGGAUUAGAUACCCUGGUAGUCCACGCUGUAAACGUUGGGAACUAGGUGUGGGGCCCUUUUCCGGGGUUCUGCGCCGUAGCUAACGCAUUAAGUUCCCCGCCUGGGGAGUACGGCCGCAAGGCUAAAACUCAAAGGAAUUGACGGGGGCCCGCACAAGCGGCGGAGCAUGCGGAUUAAUUCGAUGCAACGCGAAGAACCUUACCAAGGCUUGACAUACACCGGGAGCAUGCAGAGAUGUGUGUGCCUUUUUGGCUGGUGUACAGGUGGUGCAUGGUUGUCGUCAGCUCGUGUCGUGAGAUGUUGGGUUAAGUCCCGCAACGAGCGCAACCCUUGUCUCGUGUUGCCAGCGCGUUAUGGUGGGGACUCACGAGAGACUGCCGGGGUUAACUCGGAGGAAGGUGGGGAUGACGUCAAAUCAUCAUGCCCCUUAUGUCUUGGGCUUCACGCAUGCUACAAUGGCCGGUACAGUGGGUUGCGAUACUGUGAGGUGGAGCGAAUCUC
rnacentral:rRNA from 1 species